rnacentral:rRNA from 1 species
UACGAAGGGGGCUAGCGUUGUUCGGAAUUACUGGGCGUAAAGCGCACGUAGGCGGAUAUUUAAGUCAGGGGUGAAAUCCCGGGGUUCAACCCCGGAACUGCCUUUGAUACUGGAUAUCUCGAGUCCGAGAGAGGUGAGUGGAAUUCCGAGUGUAGAGGUGAAAUUCGUAGAUAUUCGGAGGAACACCAGUGGCGAAGGCGGCUCACUGGCUCGGUACUGACGCUGAGGUGCGAAAGCGUGGGGAGCAAACAGG